GGACAUACACGAUCACCACUCACGGCGGAUCUUACUGACAUCUCAGGUUGUUAAUACGUUUGUCAGGUCUCCGCAGGCUGUGGAGUUACAGUUGAAUAUGGUUAGAACGGGUCGCCGUUCGAUCAGGAGUUUGUUGUCCUGGCAGAAGCUUCCACACUAGAUCCUCGAGUUCCUCCCUCCUGUUUUCUUCAUGGACGGUAACAAAACGGCAGGUUUAGAACAUCGCAUCAUUUUAUGUUUGUUGCAUUAGAUAUUGGCUCUUGAGGCAGGGUCUAAUCCAUUUGCAGGAUGGUAAAUUCGAUUAUGUGUUUUGCUUGUCAUGCUCAUCACCCUCAUCACCCUUGACGGAGCCAAAAUAUUGCGAAUUGUUCAAAACACAGACUAAUGUCGUUACCAGCAGCUCUCUUAUUUCUUUUGUCCAAGAAAUGGAGGAACGCUAGGUGAGCCUGAAGACUUUAUUGGAAUCAGGCUUCGAUUUCGAGAUCUCCAUAUGA
rnacentral:sRNA from 1 species